UAAUUUGUUCUGAUUCUUAUGCUGCAUUAUCUAGUCUUGCAAGUGGAUUAAAAUCAUCAAGGCAAGACAUUAUAUACGAGAUUCUGGCAAGCUUGUUAAGAGUAAGUAAAGUAAGUUUGAUAAAAUUUAUGUGGGUUCCUGCUCAUGUGGGAGUGGAGGCUAAUGAAGUGGUUGAUAAGCUUGCUAAGCAAGCUCUUAAACAUACAGAAAUAGAUAUUCAUGUGACUCUGAGCAAAAAUGAAGUUAAAGGGAAAAUAAAAGAAUUCAUGAAUAACAAAUGGCAAGAGGAAUGGAACUGUGAUAACAAGGGCAGGUUUAUGUAUAAUAUUCAACAGAAAGAAAAUGGAAAUGGAAGAAAUGUUUUUAAGAACAGGAAAGAAGAUACAAUUAUCUCACGCAUUCGAAUAGGACAUACCAGAUUAAAUCAUUCAUUGUUUAAAAUAGGAAAACAAGAAUCAGGUAAAUGUAUUUAUUGUAAUCAGCCUGAAACUAUAGAACAUGUAUUAAUGAAAUGUAAAAAAUAUGAAAAAGAAAGGUUAAAGCUCAUUAAUGAAGUUAAAAACAUGGUUGUUGAAUCAUUCAAUAUGAUAAGUCUUUUGAACGAGAAAGCAGGACAAAGAAGAAUAUAUGGUGUUAUUAUAAAAUACAUUAAAGAAAUAGGAAUAAUUAACAGAAUUUAAUAUACAUAUAUAAUUUUUUUUUUUUUUUUUUUGUCAUUUGCCUAUCAGUGCUUCACACUCCAGUCCAGUCGGUGGCGGUAAAUGCACCAAAAAGUUGGUUUGCCAUCCGCCAUAAAAAGUUAAAAGAAGAAGAAGAACAGCUGCUGGUCACGCUAAAUAUUCACACUUUUCUGGGCGAUGAAAAAUGACGUUUAACGACAUACCAAUCGACACUUGAAAAAGAAAAAUAGAUGAAGUUAAGAGCUUUCUCUCCGUAUCGUUAAGUAUCUCUAAAGCGCACACUGUGAACUUUUACACGAGGGAUGUUUGGAGCAGGUUCAUGUGUGUGAUUCCGGAGGAAGUGUCGUGUGCUAUCAGUUCCUCACAAGACCGCAUGAAGUGCUUUGCAUUGACUGUGUGCGGACUCUGAAAUUGGGAGACAGUCAUGUGGCUCUUCAGUUAUGGGACACUGCAGGCCAAGAAAGGUAUCGCUGCAUUACCAAGCAGUUUUUCUGUAAGGCAGAUGGUGUGGAGGUCAUCUAUGACAUUAUAAUGGAGGACAGUUUCAGAUCAGUCCGCCCCUGGCUGACCAGCAUACAAGAGGCCGUAGGCGACCCUAUACCUGUCAUGAUCCUUUGCAACAAAUCAGGAGAAUGAGAGAGAAGUGCAGACAAAGGAGGUUGAGCAGAGGUGUGGACAUCUCUUAUCAAUCACACAGUAUAUCAUAGUAAAUUAUUAAUAAUA